rnacentral:rRNA from 1 species
UAGGGAAUCUUCCGCAAUGGGCGAAAGCCNGAAGGAGCAACGCCGCNUGAGUGAUGAAGGUCUUCGGAUCGUAAAACUCUGUUAUUAGGGAAGAACAAAUGUGUAAGUAACUAUGCACGUCUUGACGGUACCUUAUCAGAAAGCCACGGCAUAAUACGUGCCAGCAGCCGCGGUAAUAGGUAGGUGGCAAGCGUUUUCUGGAAUUAUUGGGCGUAAAGCGCGCGUCGGCGGUAUUUUAAGUUUGAUGUGAAAGCCCACGGCUCAACCGUGGAGGGUCAUUGGAAACUGGAAAACCUGAGUGCAGAAGAUGAAAGUGGAAUUCCAUGUGUAGCGGUGAAAUGCGCAGAGAUAUGGAGGAACACCAGUGGCGAAGGCGACUUUCUGGUCUGUAACUGACGAUGAUGUGCGAAAGCGUGGGGAUCAAACAGGAUUAGAUACCCUGGUAGUCCACGCCGUAAAUGAUGAGUGAUAAGUGUUAGGGGGUUUCCGCCCACUAGUGUCGCAGCUAACGCAUUAAGCACUCCGCCUGGGGAGUACGACCGCAAGGUUG